rnacentral:rRNA from 1 species
AUUGAACGCUGGCGGCAUGCCUUACACAUGCAAGUCGAACGGUAACAGGUCUUCGGAUGCUGACGAGUGGCGAACGGGUGAGUAAUACAUCGGAACGUGCCUAGUAGUGGGGGAUAACUACUCGAAAGAGUGGCUAAUACCGCAUGAGAUCUACGGAUGAAAGCAGGGGAUCGCAAGACCUUGUGCUACUAGAGCGGCCGAUGGCAGAUUAGGUAGUUGGUGGGAUAAAGGCUUACCAAGCCGACGAUCUGUAGCUGGUCUGAGAGGACGAUCAGCCACACUGGGACUGAGACACGGCCCAGACUCCUACGGGAGGCAGCAGUGGGGAAUUUUGGACAAGGGGCGCAAGCCUGAUCCAGCAAUGCCGCGUGCAGGAUGAAGGCCUUCGGGUUGUAAACUGCUUUUGUACGGAACGAAAAGCCCUGGGUUAAUACCCUGGGGUCAUGACGGUACCGUAAGAAUAAGCACCGGCUAACUACGUGCCAGCCGCCGCCGUAAGAC